GCCUCGGACGACCCGUAUCCUCCCCGUAUGUGUCGCAAAAAAGCUUCACUCCGUUAUCCUCCCCCUUCACCUGUUGAGAUAGGGUUUCGCGACGCGGCUGCGUCCAGCGUCGCCGUGAGGAUGGCGCGGCUGCACAGAGGUGGCGUGGCUGCAUCGGGCGGCGCGAGAAGGGAUGGCGCGACUGCGACGAGGAGGCAGCACAGCUACGUCGGGCGGCGCGGGGAGGGACGACACAGCUGCUAGGAGGCAGGGCAGCGAGAUUGUUGGGUUCGUGAGCUCGCCAAGGAGGACGUCCUCCACUACAUCUCGGCCUGAGGCGGCCACGAGUUCUCGCGAGCUCGCCGACAACGAGGUUCUCCACUACACCAUCCCAUCAGUACCAGUGUACCACCAUCGCGCCUCCGUUAUCAAUUGCCGCCAUCGCCCUUCGCCGAGGUCACCGUGCCUUUACUACUAUGACUACUAAGGCUCCUCAUCCCCCUGGCUCAUGCGCAGGUCAGGAACUACAUCAAGUUCCGUUUUUGCACUUAAUCUGUUUCACUUUGUUGAAUAUAUGAAUGCUAAUGUCUCAUGCUCACCACCUGUUUGUGAAAAUGCUUAUAGAAAGUGCCGCGCUAGAUUAUCUCCAAUAUCUCCAGUGAUUAGAUAGUGUGCACUGUAAUGUACUACAUAAUUGAAAUUUCUUUUGCAGUCAUGGAAUAUCCAAAUAUGAAUCGAAGUUGUAGUGUCCUGAUGUUUGCUAAUAGAUUUCGUAGAUAUCUGGUACUAUCAAUGCCUGAUUUUUGCUAAUAGACCAUCGGUCAUGGAAUAGUCCUUGGUUAGAUAUCUAGUAGCUACACUCUGAAAGGAAACCAACACAGUAGAAAGGAAGGGGAUAGCUACACUCUGAAAGUAGAAAAUGAUCGAGCACUAGUCCAUCCUUAGAAUCAAAUAAACACUUGCUUGUUAUAGGCCAGCACACUCUCCUGGUCCUGGUGAUGGGCUCAUCUCCCUCGCUCGCUCGCUCAUGACUGCCUACACAGCAUCCCUCCCCUAAAUUCAGUAACCUCAGAGAUGUUUGUCUCUACAACAUUUUCGUUGACUGUGACCUCAAUUGGAGUGACUAUAUAUGUUUGUCCUUGAAGCUGAGUGUCUCCACAAUAUUUUCAUUACAUUAUUUGAUUACUACAGGAGUAGUGUAGUAUUAUAUAUAUUAUUAUACACAUACUAGUACUAGCUAUCUUCCUAUAUAUGGAUGGUUGCUGGGUUUAGUGCUGUUGAUGCCUUACUUAAUUUGCUCAGAUUAGUGGUAAAGAUGCCAUGACCUCAAUUGGUGAUCAUGGCGUGGUAGACAUUGAUUCCUCUAUUUCAUUAGAAACAACAUGUUAUGCAAUGGCUUGUUUCCAUGGGACUGGUGCGCAGCAUUGGAAUCAGGUAAACCAAACCACCAAUUUUCUCUGUUUUGUUAGCACCAGUUUGACAUUUGAAAUAUUUAGUAUUGGGAAUCUUCCCUUUGUAUUAUAUUCAUUGCAUUGACAACAUUUCCUUUUGUACUAGGAGGUGCUCAAAGCGUAGUGUAGUUUCGAAAUAUCCUGAAUUGGAGUAUAAUAAACUUACACUAAAAUUUUCUUGCUGCAACUUUUUCCAUGCUUGGCGAUUUACUUUUCAUGCUGGUGAAGUCACUUUUUUACAGCAAUAAUAAUACUAUCAACCCCUCGCAGCGCAUACCUCCUUGGAUGGCUCUACUGCCAAAAAUGAACAAAAAUAUGUGUCUUUGCAGCUAAUAGAUGAAGGAAUCUCACGCACUCACAGCUGCGCACUAGUCAUCAAGCAAUACAAUUUGCAGAGCCUGGCUGGGAAGCACGGCAAGAUGUUUGCGCAGCUUGUCCUCGGAUGGGGUCUGUAGCGUAACACUGUGGUGAUCCCCAUGACCUCCAAGGCAUAGUAAUACAUUAGCACACCACUCAACCUUCACUCAUUGGGACAUGUUUGGUUUCAAGUGGGAACAAUUGCCAAGUGAGGACAGGAGCUCGCAUAUGUUGGCCGGUGUAGAUGAUUAUAGCUUCUACUGUCAAGGUGCGACAAGAAGUUUGCAGGGCGGAACAGGAGAAACCAUGCAGAACCAGAGGACCCAACGCAUGAGCAGAGUGGCUGAACGACACAUACGUCUUUGCAGCUCGAGAUCAUGGGUGUCUCUGCAUCGGUUUGUUAAACUCGGAUUUAGAUAAUUUCCUGGUUCAGUUGGACUCUUAGAGAGUUAAUUAUGGAGUCGUAACAGAGUCACUACAGGAAACCGACGAUUUGCCGGGUGCAAAACGCUUUGCCGGGAUCUUUUUAUCGGGCACCCGACAAAGGACUUCUUUGCCGGAUAAUUUAAUUUAAGGAAUACAUCAGUUUCCUCUCC